rnacentral:rRNA from 1 species
GACGAACGCUGGCGGCGUGCUUAACACAUGCAAGUCGUACGGAAAGGCCCUGUCGGGGGUACACGCGUGGGGAGCGGGCGGGUAAGACGCGAGUGAGUUGCCCACACCUGUGUGAUAACGAUCGGCAACUAAUUGGAGCUAAUGAUAUGUAGGAGUUCUGGCUGGAGGGGGGUGGAAGGAAACGGCGGUUGUGGAUGGACUCGCGGCCUAUCAGCUUGUUGGUGGGGUAGUGGCUUACCAAGGCGGGGACGGGUAGCCGGCCUGAGAGGGUGACCGGCCACAUUGGGACUGAGAUACGGCCCAGACUCCUACGGGAGGCAGCAGUGGGGAAUAUUGCACAAUGGGCGCAAGCCUGAUGCAGCAACGCCGCGUGCGGGAUGACGGCCUUCGGGUUGUAAACCGCUUUCACCAGUGACGAAGCGUUUUUUGCCGUUACCUGCAGAAGAGCCACCGCCUACCUCCUU